AUCCUGGCUCAGGACGAACGCUGGCGGCGUGCUUAACACAUGCAAGUCGAACGGUGAUGUCAGAGCUUGCUCUGGCGGAUCAGUGGCGAACGGGUGAGUAACACGUGAGUAACCUGCCCCCGACUCUGGGAUAACUGCUAGAAAUGGUAGCUAAUACCGGAUAUGACGACUGGCCGCAUGGUCUGGUCGUGGAAAGAAUUUCGGUUGGGGAUGGACUCGCGGCCUAUCAGGUUGUUGGUGAGGUAAUGGCUCACCAAGCCUACGACGGGUAGCCGGCCUGAGAGGGUGACCGGCCACACUGGGACUGAGACACGGCCCAGACUCCUACGGGAGGCAGCAGUGGGGAAUAUUGCACAAUGGGCGAAAGCCUGAUGCAGCAACGCCGCGUGAGGGAUGACGGCCUUCGGGUUGUAAACCUCUUUUAGUAGGGAAGAAGCGAAAGUGACGGUACCUGCAGAAA
rnacentral:rRNA from 1 species